UACAGAGGGGGCAAGCGUUGUUCGGAAUUACUGGGCGUAAAGGGCGCGUAGGCGGCCUUCUAAGUCGAACGUGAAAUCCCUGGGCUCAACCCAGGAACUGCGUCCGAUACUGGAAGGCUUGAAUCCGGGAGAGGGAUGCGGAAUUCCAGGUGUAGCGGUGAAAUGCGUAGAUAUCUGGAGGAACACCGAUGGCGAAGGCAAUCCCCUGGGCCUGCACUGACGCUCAUGCACGAAAGCGUGGGGAGCAAACAGG
rnacentral:rRNA from 1 species